UGGGGAAUCUUCGGCAAUGGGGGCAACCCUGACCGAGCAACGCCGCGUGAGUGAAGAAGGUUUUCGGAUCGUAAAGCUCUGUUGUAAGUCAAGAACGGGUGUGAGAGUGGAAAGUUCACACUGUGACGGUAGCUUACCAGAAAGGGACGGCUAACUACGUGCCAGCAGCCGCGGUAAUACGUAGGUCCCGAGCGUUGUCCGGAUUUAUUGGGCGUAAAGCGAGCGCAGGCGGUUUGAUAAGUCUGAAGUUAAAGGCUGUGGCUCAACCAUAGUUCGCUUUGGAAACUGUCAAACUUGAGUGCAGAAGGGGAGAGUGGAAUUCCAUGUGUAGCGGUGAAAUGCGUAGAUAUAUGGAGGAACACCGGUGGCGAAAGCGGCUCUCUGGUCUGUAACUGACGCUGAGGCUCGAAAGCGUGGGGAGCGAACAGGAUUAGAUACCCUGGUAGUCCACGCCGUAAACGAUGAGUGCUAGGUGUUGGAUCCUUUCCGGGAUUCAGUGCCGCAGCUAACGCAUUAAGCACUCCGCCUGGGGAGUACGACCGCAAGGUUGAAAC
rnacentral:rRNA from 1 species